UACGUAGGGGGCAAGCGUUGUCCGGAUUUAUUGGGCGUAAAGCGCACGCAGGCGGUCUCUUAAGUUUCGAGUGACAGGUGGUGGCUCAACUGCCACAGGCCUUGGAAAACUGGGAGACUUGAGGACUUCAGAGGGAUGCGGAAUUCCAGGUGGAGCGGUGAAAUGCGUAGAGAUCUGGAGGAACACCGGUGGCGAAGGCGGCAUCCUGGACCGAGAUUGACGCUGAGGCGCGAAAGCCAGGGGAGCAAACGGG
rnacentral:rRNA from 1 species